CCUGAAUCAGGCAACCGGAGCUGCAGUAAUGAGGUCACCAACCAAUUGAUUAGGUAUCGUAAUCUAAGUGUGGUCUUGCUAAGUCCAAGCAUAUUCACAUGAUCAAGAUGUUUGCAGAUAAUUUCAGGUUCUUUCCUGCCAUCCAGAGCCUCAUCAUAGUCACUGUAUGCAUCGUCGUCGUCGUCAUCGUCAUCUGCCAUUCCAUACCCAGAUGUUUCCCCAGCAUCUGCAUUACGACAAAGCUUGCUAUCAUCCAAAGUGAAUGAUACAUUGUGCCCCAUACUUGGCACUCGUUCCGAUUCUUCUACUCCAAAGAAUCUUCCACCAUUGAAUCUGCCAUUGUAUGCUUCCCUCCUUCCCAGUAGACGGAAGUCACCUUCAUUUUCUCUUCUGAUUGCACUAUCUUUGGUUUCUGCUUGACUUUCUGAGAAAAUCUCGGAUGUGGAGCCAUUCUCACGGGUGGUACAGCUCCCAAAAACAGAGGUUGCACAGCCUUCACCUUCAGCAGUGUCGUUGGCACAAGAAAAUUUUACAAACCUCUUAUUUACUUUAGCAUCUUUAUUAUCUUCUUCAAUCUCGCUGAUAGGAGUAUUCUUGAUGUUAAUAUGUGAAUUAUCUUCAUCCAGAUCCCCUUUCUCCGGCCCUGGCUCUUGUGAUACCGACCUCACGGCUGCAUCAAAUGACAUAACAUGGUUAUCAUGAAUAGGACUCCUUGACAGUUUGGAUGGCACCUUUGGUGACGCCUUCUUAGCACUCUUCCUGCCAGAAAACCAGGAUGCUGGCAAUGGAGAGCCCAAUUUUCCCUUGCUUGAUUGCUCUGAAUGGUCUGAACCAAGUGGACUCUGUCCCAAAUCAACCCAGAAGGAGUUCUCCGAUGACUCAUCCUCACUGAACACAGGGCUCUUCAUCACCUCUCCAACAGAAACACUCUCGCUCUCUUCAUAUAUGGUGCUGGCACCAUCUCUAUCUGAACUGUCCUGAUCCAUUUCACUCUCAAUAACCUCCCUCACUUGCGCUGAUGAAUAUGCACCUGAGAAUGCAGGCAAAUGGGGUGCAUGGUGACUGUUCAACACCGACCCCUCCUCAAUUUGAAUGAUAUUAUCAUCCUCCAGCCCAUCCAGGACACCUUCAAACCCAUCAACUGAAUCACUGAGAUACUGUGGGAAGACCGGCACAAUCCGCACCAUCCCUGCCCCCGUCCCACCGCUCGGGCUCUGCAAGCAUGCCAUUACCGACUUCUUGAUCAGCAAGCAUCCAAAACCAGUUGGUUCAGCCCCAAACACCCUGUAAAAUGAAGUGAUGAUGAAGUCUGGCCGGAACAGAGACAGCCCCAGCGAGUCCAUGUCCUUAGGCCCCAGAGCCCCAGCAUCGAGCAGGACAUGCCAGUGAUUUUGCUGAGCCAAUGCCAUCCACUGGUAGGAGUACUUGGCACCCGUCACCCUCGACUGCACAGGGAACACGAACAGACCAGUGGCGGAGUCCUUGCGCCGCCGCUUCUUGGUGGAGAUCAGCUUCCGGAGCUCGGUGGUGCAGAUCUUGAGCGUGGGCCACUUAAACCAGGCGGAGUACGCCUUGGCUCCCUUGUCACGCGCGGCCUGCGUCAUCCAGUUCACGGACUGGGACUCAUGGUCGAACAUGGUGAGCAGGCGCAUGUUGGUGCCGAAGGGGUAGCACUCAGCGAGCAGCCGGAAGGCCGAGCCGCGGCUGACCGUGAAGACGAGGCAGUACUCGGACUCGGGGAUGUUGAGGUAAUCCAUGAUGCGGUUCUUGAUGUCGUGCUCCGCGGUGCCCUUCUCGGCGGCGCCGUAGAGCGCAUGGUUGCUGAGGUUGGCGGUGAUCUCCGAGAGCGUGAACGCAGCCGACGAAUCGGCAGGGUUGCAGCUUUGGAGGUAGGAGAAAAGGCCAAAGCCGCAGUAGUCGAGGCAUACCUUGUCCAGGUGCGGGUACUCGUCGGCGCGGAGGCGGUCCACGUCCGAGGCGGACGCGUAGCUGGGGUACAUGGCGAGGAACCUGGCCAGCGCCUCCUCCAGCAUCGGGAGCGCGUCCGGCGACUGGAACGCGCGCUCUGCGGCCAUGGCCGUCGCGCGCAGGAAGUCCCGCUGCGCGUGGAGCCGCGCCAGCGAGCGGGACCGCCCCACGGACGCCUCCUCCGCACCGUCCCCUCCAUCGAGGAGCGCCGCGUCGCGGGACUUGGCGAGGGACCCGUCCUCGGACGCCUCCUCCAGCGCCUCCCGCAGCUUGCUCUCCUGCAGCCGCCGCCCGCCGCCGGACCCCGCGCCCGCCCCCGCCCCCGCCUGCGGCGGCCGCGGCGGGCGGUUUUUC
rnacentral:misc_RNA from 1 species